CCGGCGAUUUCCGAAUGGGGAAACCCAGUGUGUUUCGACACACUAUCAUUAACUGAAUCCAUAGGUUAAUGAGGCGAACCGGGGGAACUGAAACAUCUAAGUACCCCGAGGAAAAGAAAUCAACCGAGAUUCCCCCAGUAGCGGCGAGCGAACGGGGAGCAGCCCAGAGCCUGAAUCAGUGUGUGUGUUAGUGGAAGCGUCUGGAAAGGCGCGCGAUACAGGGUGACAGCCCCGUACACAAAAAUGCACAUGCUGUGAGCUCGAUGAGUAGGGCGGGACACGUGGUAUCCUGUCUGAAUAUGGGGGGACCAUCCUCCAAGGCUAAAUACUCCUGACUGACCGAUAGUGAACCAGUACCGUGAGGGAAAGGCGAAAAGAACCCCGGCGAGGGGAGUGAAAAAGAACCUGAAACCGUGUACGUACAAGCAGUGGGAGCCUCUUUAUGGGGUGACUGCGUACCUUUUGUAUAAUGGGUCAGCGACUUAUAUUCUGUAGCAAGGUUAACCGAAUAGGGGAGCCGAAGGGAAACCGAGUCUUAACUGGGCGUUAAGUUGCAGGGUAUAGACCCGAAACCCGGUGAUCUAGCCAUGGGCAGGUUGAAGGUUGGGUAACACUAACUGGAGGACCGAACCGACUAAUGUUGAAAAAUUAGCGGAUGACUUGUGGCUGGGGGUGAAAGGCCAAUCAAACCGGGAGAUAGCUGGUUCUCCCCGAAAGCUAUUUAGGUAGCGCCUCGUGAAUUCAUCUCCGGGGGUAGAGCACUGUUUCGGCAAGGGGGUCAUCCCGACUUACCAACCCGAUGCAAACUGCGAAUACCGGAGAAUGUUAUCACGGGAGACACACGGCGGGUGCUAACGUCCGUCGUGAAGAGGGAAACAACCCAGACCGCCAGCUAAGGUCCCAAAGUCAUGGUUAAGUGGGAAACGAUGUGGGAAGGCCCAGACAGCCAGGAUGUUGGCUUAGAAGCAGCCAUCAUUUAAAGAAAGCGUAAUAGCUCACUGGUCGAGUCGGCCUGCGCGGAAGAUGUAACGGGGCUAAACCAUGCACCGAAGCUGCGGCAGCGACACUAUGUGUUGUUGGGUAGGGGAGCGUUCUGUAAGCCUGUGAAGGUGUACUGUGAGGUAUGCUGGAGGUAUCAGAAGUGCGAAUGCUGACAUAAGUAACGAUAAAGCGGGUGAAAAGCCCGCUCGCCGGAAGACCAAGGGUUCCUGUCCAACGUUAAUCGGGGCAGGGUGAGUCGACCCCUAAGGCGAGGCCGAAAGGCGUAGUCGAUGGGAAACAGGUUAAUAUUCCUGUACUUGGUGUUACUGCGAAGGGGGGACGGAGAAGGCUAUGUUGGCCGGGCGACGGUUGUCCCGGUUUAAGCGUGUAGGCUGGUUUUCCAGGCAAAUCCGGAAAAUCAAGGCUGAGGCGUGAUGACGAGGCACUACGGUGCUGAAGCAACAAAUGCCCUGCUUCCAGGAAAAGCCUCUAAGCAUCAGGUAACAUCAAAUCGUACCCCAAACCGACACAGGUGGUCAGGUAGAGAAUACCAAGGCGCUUGAGAGAACUCGGGUGAAGGAACUAGGCAAAAUGGUGCCGUAACUUCGGGAGAAGGCACGCUGAUAUGUAGGUGAAGCGACUUGCUCGUGGAGCUGAAAUCAGUCGAAGAUACCAGCUGGCUGCAACUGUUUAUUAAAAACACAGCACUGUGCAAACACGAAAGUGGACGUAUACGGUGUGACGCCUGCCCGGUGCCGGAAGGUUAAUUGAUGGGGUUAGCGGUAACGCGAAGCUCUUGAUCGAAGCCCCGGUAAACGGCGGCCGUAACUAUAACGGUCCUAAGGUAGCGAAAUUCCUUGUCGGGUAAGUUCCGACCUGCACGAAUGGCGUAAUGAUGGCCAGGCUGUCUCCACCCGAGACUCAGUGAAAUUGAACUCGCUGUGAAGAUGCAGUGUACCCGCGGCAAGACGGAAAGACCCCGUGAACCUUUACUAUAGCUUGACACUGAACAUUGAGCCUUGAUGUGUAGGAUAGGUGGGAGGCUUUGAAGUGUGGACGCCAGUCUGCAUGGAGCCGGCCUUGAAAUACCACCCUUUAAUGUUUGAUGUUCUAACGUUGGCCCCUGAUCGGGGUUGCGGACAGUGUCUGGUGGGUAGUUUGACUGGGGCGGUCUCCUCCUAAAGAGUAACGGAGGAGCACGAAGGUUGGCUAAUCCUGGUCGGACAUCAGGAGGUUAGUGCAAUGGCAUAAGCCAGCUUGACUGCGAGCGUGACGGCGCGAGCAGGUGCGAAAGCAGGUCAUAGUGAUCCGGUGGUUCUGAAUGGAAGGGCCAUCGCUCAACGGAUAAAAGGUACUCCGGGGAUAACAGGCUGAUACCGCCCAAGAGUUCAUAUCGACGGCGGUGUUUGGCACCUCGAUGUCGGCUCAUCACAUCCUGGGGCUGAAGUAGGUCCCAAGGGUAUGGCUGUUCGCCAUUUAAAGUGGUACGCGAGCUGGGUUUAGAACGUCGUGAGACAGUUCGGUCCCUAUCUGCCGUGGGCGCUGGAGAACUGAGGGGGGCUGCUCCUAGUACGAGAGGACCGGAGUGGACGCAUCACUGGUGUUCGGGUUGUCAUGCCAAUGGCACUGCCCGGUAGCUAAAUGCGGAAGAGAUAAGUGCUGAAAGCAUCUAAGCACGAAGCUUG
rnacentral:rRNA from 1 species